rnacentral:rRNA from 1 species
CAAUAGCGUAUGUUAAAGUUGUUGCGGUAAAAAAGCUCGUAGUUGGAUUUCUACCGAAGAUAGCCGGUCGGGUCUUCGACCUUGUAUCUGGUUUUGUCUUUGGUAUCCUCAUAGGGAACGUUUCUGCGCUUUAUUGCGUGGUGCGGUAUCUAUGACUUUUACUUUGAGGAAAUUAGAGUGUUCACGGCAGGCAAACGCCUUGAAUAUAUUAGCAUGGAAUAAUAACAUAGGAUCUUCGUCCUAUUUUGUUGGUUUCUAGGGCUAAGAUAAUGAUUAAUAGGGAUAAUUGGGGGCAUCUGUAUCAACGCGUCAGAGGUGGAAUUCUUGGAUUGCGUUGCGACAAACUACUGCGAAAGCAUUUGCCAAGGAUGUUUUCAUUGA